GGCCCGGGCUUUGUCCGGGCUUUUUCGUAAACUCACUACCAUUUGGUAACGGUUGCAAGUCCGUAAAAAGAGCGAGCACGAA
rnacentral:ribozyme from 1 species